GACGAACGCUGGCGGCGUGCUUAACACAUGCAAGUCGAACGAGACGAUUGAAAGCUUGCUUUUGAAAGUCGAGUGGCAAACGGGUGAGUAACGCGUAGACAACCUGCCUUUGAGAUGGGGACAACAGUUCGAAAGGACUGCUAAUACCGAAUGUUGUAUAUUUUCCACAUGGAAGAUAUAUUAAAGAUGGCCUCUAUUUAUAAGCUAUCGCUCAAAGAUGGGUCUGCGUCUGAUUGGCUGGUUGGUGGGGUAACGGCCUACCAAGGCGACGAUCAGUAGCCGGUCUGAGAGGAUGAACGGCCACAGUGGGACUGAGACACGGCCCAGACUCCUACGGGAGGCAGCGGUGGGGAAUCUUCCACAAUGGACGAAAGUCUGAUGGAGCAACGCCGCGUGAGUGAAGAAGGGUUUCGGCUCGUAAAGCUCUGUUGUCGGGGACGAAUGUGCAGUAUUUGAAUAAAGUACUGCAAUGACGGUACCUGACGAGGAAGCCACGGCUAACUACGUGCCAGCAGCCGCCGUAA
rnacentral:rRNA from 1 species